rnacentral:rRNA from 1 species
UCCCAUCCCACUGCCCCCUCGACAUCUGUCCCCGCACACGCGCGCGCACAGGGAGGUGGACGUCAACUUUCCCCUCCCCUCCCUCCGCCUUCAUCUUCACGGCGUCACCACUCCUUUGCUUUUACUGGUAAGUUCUAAACUGCGGCUGCUGCUGCUGCUGCGCUCUUCCUCUUUUCUCCUCUCGCCCGCCCGCGCGUGCUCCCGCCGUUGGUUCCGCACCGCUCGCUAGCUUCCUUGCUCGCGAGGGCACCGCCCGUGAGCCGUGAUUCGGGGAUUUGGAUCCGCGCGUACCUUGGAUUUCCCCUUGUUUAUAGGCCGGUCGAGCGGUGCCUGGUACAGGCGUUGGGAUUCGGCCUGGAUCGGCGCAGAUCUGGAGGCACAUGAGGCGCCGGCGCUGGCGGGCGAGCUUACGAGGAUGUGAAGCAAGUUGUAGAGGGAGAGGGAGCGGAGUCAGCGAUGGGGUGCUUGGGUGGUGAGGCGACUCGGGGCGCUGAUCCUGGAGGCACCUGUGGCGCCGGAGGAGAUGGAGGACGUGGCCGUGGCUGCGCUCGCCACGACGCCCACACCUGUGUUUAGCCCCGCCACGGCCGGGCUCACGCUAAUCGCCGCCGCGGCUGCGGAACCGAUUGCGGCCGUUGUGGCGGGGGCCAUGGAGGGGGUGCCGGUCACCUUUUCAGUGCCGCCGGUCAGAACCACCACGGACGACGGGCUGCCAACAGCAACUGGAGGGGAAGGGGGAGAGGCCUCGGCAGCGGGGAGCCCGUGCUCGGUCACCAGCGACUGCAGCAGCGUGGCAAGCGCGGAUUUCGAGGGGGUGGGUCUGGGCUUCUUCGGUGCGGGGGUCGAGGGGGGCGCGGUGGUGUUCGAGGACUCGGCGGCUUCUGCGGCCACCGUCGAGGCGGAGGCGAGGGUCGCGGCCGGGGGGAGGAGCGUCUUCGCUGUCGAAUGCGUUCCGCUCUGGGGGUUUACAUCAAUUUGCGGCCGCCGCCCGGAGAUGGAGGAUGCGGUCGUCGCUGUGCCGCGAUUCUUCGGCCUGCCCCUCUGGAUGCUCACGGGCAACAAUAUGGUCGAUGGACUCGAUCCCAUCUCCUUCCGCCUCCCCGCACACUUUUUUGGUGUAUACGAUGGCCACGGCGGUGCACAGGUAGCAGAUUACUGUCGGGAUCGGCUCCACGCAGCGCUGGUGGAGGAGCUGAGCAGGAUAGAAGGGUCCGUGUCUGGUGCUAACCUGGGAGCUGUGGAGUUUAAGAAGCAGUGGGAAAAGGCGUUUGUGGAUUGCUUCUCAAGGGUGGAUGAUGAGAUAGCUGGUAAGGCGACCAGGGGAGGAGGGGGAAACGUGGGCACAAGCAGUGUCACUGCAAUGGCCAUUGCAGAUCCUGUAGCACCUGAGACCGUCGGUUCAACGGCGGUGGUCGCUGUCAUCUGCUCAUCUCAUAUCAUUGUCUCAAAUUGUGGAGACUCGAGGGCAGUGCUCUGCCGUGGAAAGCAACCCGUGCCGUUGUCAGUGGAUCAUAAACCUAAUAGGGAGGAUGAGUACGCAAGGAUUGAGGCAGAGGGUGGCAAGGUCAUACAGUGGAAUGGCUACCGAGUUUUCGGUGUCCUUGCCAUGUCGCGAUCAAUUGGUGACAGAUAUCUGAAACCAUGGAUAAUUCCUGUCCCAGAGGUCACAAUUGUUCCUCGGGCGAAGGAUGAUGAGUGCCUUAUUCUUGCCAGUGAUGGCCUCUGGGAUGUACUGUCGAAUGAAGAGGUAUGCGAUGUUGCCCGCAAGCGAAUACUCUUAUGGCAUAAAAAGAACGGGGUAAACUUAUCAUCGGCCCAACGUAGCGGUGACUCCCCAGAUCCAGCGGCUCAAGCAGCUGCUGAAUGCUUGUCGAAGCUUGCUCUCCAGAAGGGGAGCAAGGACAACAUCACGGUUAUUGUGGUAGACCUCAAGGCGCAGAGGAAGUUCAAGAGCAAAACUUAAGUCAUCUUGCUUGAUGGACAGCCUCUAUGACAAAUUCCUAGGAAUCUAUAUAGAUUUGGAGAAUCCAAAUUCGAUCAGUUUAGACUGUUGUGUUAGUACAUUACUUAGCCCAGUUCGUUCUUUUCUUCCUUUUCACCAUUUGGGCUGCCAAGGGCUGUAUUCCUGUAUACAGUACAGAUUACGAAAUUCCACAUCAGGGUUUAUGUUUCCUGAUGGCGUGGGUGAUCCUGUUUUCUGUUCUUCUUCCUUUGCUGCCCCUUAUUCUUUUUGUUAAGCUGGGCCAUCAUGUAUCUGGAAAUGUAUAUUUGAGCCUGUAGGGUACAACAGGAACUAGUGGUAUAAACUAUUUUGUACUGCCUUCUCUGAUACUAUGAAAUUCAAGUGGCAAACCUUCCUAC